AUACGUAGGGUGCGAGCGUUAAUCGGAAUUACUGGGCGUAAAGCGUGCGCAGGCGGUUUUGUAAGACAGCUGUGAGAUCCCCGGGCUUAACCUGGGAACUGCGUUUGUGACUGCGAGACUAGAGUGUGGCAGAGGGGGGUGGAAUUCCACGUGUAGCAGUGAAAUGCGUAGAGAUGUGGAGGAACACCGAUGGCGAAGGCAGCCCCCUGGGUUAACACUGACGCUCAUGCACGAAAGCGUGGGUAGC
rnacentral:rRNA from 1 species